rnacentral:pre_miRNA from 1 species
CUUACGGUGCUUAUUGGCAUUCUGUCCACCUCCAACCCUUCCUUUCUCAUGGCACCAAGAGCAUCAAAAGAAAGAUAUGGAGGUGGGCAGCCUGCCAACCGAGCUCCGUAGG